UCUUAUAUGUCUAGACUUAACUUUUUGAAUUUUCUUUUUUUUUUUUGAUUUAGUACAAAAAACAUGAACAUACGGAAUACAGUUAUAUUUAUUGGUUUAAUGUCUUUGGUUACUAUUCUAUCAUCUGUUUCAAUUCUGGAUCACUUUUGAUUGAGUUGAUUUUUCUUGUCACUGUGGGUCAUAUUUUCCUGCUUCUUUGCAUGCUAGUUAAAAGUUUAAAUUGUAUACCAGAGAUUGUGAACUUUACCUUGUUUUCAUAGAUAUUUUUGUAUUCUUGUAAAUAUUCCUGACUUUAUUUUGGCAUGCUGUUAAGUUUCUUGGGCAGAGUUCAGUCAUUUCUUGUCUUUCUAAGUUUUGUUAGGCUGUGGUGUACCAAAUCAACAUUUAAUCUAGGGUUCAUUUACUCCACUACUGAGGCAAAACCCUUUUGAGCACUCUACCCUGUGUCCUAUGAAUUGUGAGGUUUUCCAUUCUUACUGAUGGGAACACGCACUAUUCUAGGCCCUGUGUGUAAUGCUGCUGUGAAUGUUGCUUUAUAUGUCUCUUGGAAGAAAUUCAGCUUCGUAUUUCAAGAGUAUAUAGAUGAGAGGGAAUCGGUGUGUUAGACCCUUCUAGUUCUUGUCUGUUGCUUCCACAUCUGUUUCCAAUAGCUGUAAUCAUGAAUUAGAUCCCAUUUCCUUUUUUAAAAAAGUCAGUGGUCUGUGGUUCUUGGGUGGGAGAGAUAAAGGAGGUUUAACAAUUGAGAAUUUCAAAGUCAUCAGUGGCAGAGCACGCGCUCUAAUAGCAUGAAUAAUUUAAUCAUAACUAAGGUGUUUACAUAUAGUCAGUUUCUCUGCUACCCACCUUUCAUGAUAUACUUUGAAAUUUGGUGACAAUCACCUUGGACCUUUUGGGUUCUCUGGAAAUGGUAACCAGUAAGCCACUAAUCUAUUUUUUGUCUUUAUGGAUUUGUUUAUUCAGUCUCUUUCAUAUGAGUGAAAUAAUAAAAAAUGACUUUUCACUGUAUAAUGUUUUCAGGGCUUAUCCGUGUUGUUGUGUGUAUCUUACUGCAUAACUUCCAUUUUUUUUAAAUGACCGAAUAACAUUCCAUUGUAUGGAUAUAACAGCCUUGUUUAUCCAGUAAUCAGUUGAUAGACAUUUAGGUCCCUUCCACCUUUUGGCUGUGUUAAACAUUUUGACAAGGAUUCUUAAUUUUAAGGUGAAGUUGUGUACAUUUUAGCACACCAGUGAUAAAGUGAAAAAGUCUAAGGCUUGUUCUUUGCAUGUCAUCAACUGAUUUGAGAGCCAUACACUUGUUUCUGCAUAAGCCACACAAAUAAUACAUAGUCUGUGAUAAUUUAGCAUAGUAGAAUGUGGCCUCUGAGACCAGGCCUCCUGGGCUGCAACCCUUAUUCUCUUUUCUUACUAGCAUAUGAACCAAGGCAAGUUACUUGACAGUUCCUUGCCUCAGUUUCCCCAUUUGUAAAAUGCAGAUAAUACCAGUGAGUCAGUAAUUGUCAAACACAUACUAGUUUAAAAUGAUUAACUCAUUUAAUCCUGUUGGUAACUGGCAUGUUGUGUCUUUACUCUGUUGACUGUUUCCUUUUCUUUGUAUAAUCUUUCCAGAUUUAUGAUUUUUAUCCAUCCCAGUCUUUAAGUUGUCCUGACCAUGCUUGGCAGUAUGUCUUUUGAUCUGUUCAAAGCAGUCAACAUAGAUUUUAUAGAAAUAAUGCAUCCUUUUUGCACUUACUGGUUUGGGUUGUAACUGAUUAUAUUAUCUACAGUAACAGAACAGGCAUAAUUAUAAGGCAGAUUUGGAAACAGAAACCACUGAUUCUUGUUAGACAUUCAGUUCAACAGGUAGCAUAUGUUUGUGAGAGGUGGCAAGUUUUGUGGCUAAGAAGAUAGACUGACCUAGGACUAUCAAGAUCCUCUGAGAACAAUUACCUGUGGCUCAUCACCAGUCCCCAGCACUGAGGAGGGGGACCAUGCACUCUGAGUUGAAUUCUGUCAGUCGGAUCCUGAUCCCAGUGCUUUUUAAUACUUCCGCCAGAGUCUUAGAUGGUAGCACACAGAGUAUGCUCAUUAAGAUUGUGAAAUGGCAUCAAAUUGAAUAGGUGGCUCAAUAGAAAACUUGAUUAAAUUUCAGAAUACCUGAUGGUUCAGGAAAGUUGGCGAAUAUACAUAUGGCAUUUAGCUGGAUCAGGGCAAGAUAAUUUUCUUAAGGAAAGUAAAUAGUUGUUGAAAUUUGUGUUUACAACAUCUUCAGGAGUAGAUUUAACUCAAGAAACCAUUUUCAUUCAUUACUCAUUCAUUUCAAUUUUAUUAUGACAUUGCAGUGAUUCAUAUCUUCAGGCUCUACCUCUGAUUCUAGUUCUCUUGCUGUUUCCACCACAUCUACAGUUAUUUCCUUCACUGAAAUCUGGAACCCCUCAAAGCCAUCCAUGAGAGUUGGAAUCAACUUCCAAACUCCUGUGAAUGUUGCUUUUUUGACCUCUUCCCAUGAAGAGGUAUCACAGAUGUUCUUAAGGGCAACUAGAAUGUGGAGACGGGGUUUCGCUGUGUUAGCCAGGAUGGUCUUGAUCUCCUGACCUCGUGAUCUGCCUGCCUCGGCCUCCCAAAGUGCUGGGAUUACAGGUGUGAGCUACCGUGCCUGGCCAGGUGUGACCCAUAAUUCUUAAGGGCCCUAGGAUUUUUGGAAUAGUAGCUGAUCACUGGCUUCAACUUAAAGUCACCAGCUGCCUUAGCCUUUAACAAGAGAAUCAGUUGGUUCUUUGAAACGUUGAAGCCCAGCAUUGACUUAUCCUUUCUAACUACGAAGUCCUCUGUAGUAUCAUUUUCUAGUAUAAGACUGUUUCAUUGGCAUUGAGAAUCUGUUGUUUAGUGUAGCUACCUUCAUUUUAGCUAGAUCUUUUGGAUAACUUGUUCCAGCUUGUACAACAGCACUUGCUGCUUCACCUUGCAUUUUUGUUAUGGAGAUGGCUUCUUUUUUUUAAACCUCAUGAACCAACCUCUGCUAUCUUCACACUUCUCUUAUGCAGCUUCCUCACUUCUCUCAGCCUUUAUAGAAUUGAAGAGAGUUAGGCUCUUGUUCUGGAUUAGGAUUUGGUUUAAGGGAAUAUUAUGGCUGGUUUGAUCUUCUGUCUUGAUACUAAAACUUUCUGCAUAUUCGUAUGUUCACUGGAGUAGGAUUUUAAAUUUCCCUUCAGAACUUUUUCUUUGCAUUCACAACCUGGCUAACUGGCAUAAGAGGCCUAGCUUUAGGCCUAUCUUGGCUUUCAACAUGCCUUUCUCACUAAGCUUAAUCAUUUCUAGUUUUUGAUUUGAAAUUUAUAGAAUGUUAGCGGUCAUUGGUCUCAGUAGCUCACUUUAUUUUAAUGGGUGACAAAACCCAAUUGCGACGUCCCACCUUCAAGCUAAGCCCUUUCUUCCCAAGUCAUUGCUCUUAACACUACCCCUGUAGCAACUGUUUUUACCCUGAAGACAGAAUUAUAAAGUUUACAACAGUGGGAGGAAAUAUGUGUUGGACAUUAGAAAUUUAUGAUUACAAAGGCAAUGAAAUAUGAUACACAAAAAGCAAUAGAAUCUCUGCCAUACAGCUUCCUUGCUAGCCUGUUUAACCUUGUAGUUUGAACCCUUGUAACUCUAUUAUCUCCCAGGUUUAUGUCUCAUUUUCUGACAAGGAAAGAUCUAAUAAUAAUACUUUAGGUUACUUUUCAUCUUUCAUUAAAAUUAUCAUGCCUUUGAUUUAAUUUACCAUAAAUAUGGAUAAAUCAGAGCCUCUCUCUGUAAGCCUGAAUUAUCUUAAUGAGAGUGGAUGAGUGGAUGAAGCAAAAAUAUUUGGCACUUGGGUAGGACAGGUGAAUAUUUAAUUAUUUUGACACACUUUGGGAAAAAGUACUCUGAGCUCCAUAAAUGUUGUUGUUCUCCCAACCCCACCUAUUUUCAAAAGCAACAUUGUUAGCCAGAAGAAAAAUAAGGUUUUUUUUGAAGCUUUUUUUUUUUUUUUUUUUUUGGCCCUUGUUAGUAUUUAGUAUAAAAUAAUUGGUGUCUGCCUCAAAAGUAAGGAUUUAAUUGUAAAGCAAUUCCUUCUUUCUGAAAGAUAACUUUAGGGAAGAAAACCUUAUCUUAUGUUUGGGGAUAUAUAGUGGGACAGUUGCAAUCAUUGUAUAUAUUGGGUGUGUUAGAGUUGAUAGCCUCAUUAAGUUUCUCUUAUGUGGAAAAAUUAUUUGGCAUUUUAAUUCACUUCAUUGUUUUUUUUUUUCUCCUUUUCUACAGGGGCUUUCAUUCAUAUAUUUUAAUUUUUCUUGUUCUUCUUUUGACUAGUUUAUUGAUGGCCAUGCCUCAUCUUGUCUGUAAUUGUUAGAUGGUGCUGGACUAAACUUUCAGUAAUAUAUACAGGGCCACAGAUGAUAAUGGGACUAGUUUUACAUCUAUACACUAUAACUUUUAGUGCAAGUACUUGAAACACACAAAAAUCGAGGCAUUUUGCUCUGCUGUCCUUGAAUUUGGGCAUAAAAUGCUAAAACCACUGCUAAUUACAGUAACCCACUUGGAAUCUAAAUUGUUACAUUAAAAUUAGUUUUUAAAGUGAGCAGGAUCCAUAUUGCUACAUUAUAGAAACUAAUACCCUUAUUAACAGCUCCAUCUUCUCCAUUGUAAUAUUUCCUUAAAAAGAAAAUUUGCAGACAUGGUCUGAAUGAUUUAGAGUGAUGUGUAACAGUUUGGACAGGCUGGUUGCACCCCUGAAAGCCUCCUUUGUCAUUGCCAGCUAGGAUGUCAUCUGUUUGAACUGGUCUUUUUCGUGUUUGCCUAGGGUGGUAUAGCCUACUCCACACCUACACUAUAUGGUAUAGCCUGUUGCUCCUAGGCUACAAACCUGUAGAACAUGUUACUAUAUUGAAUACUGUAGGCAGUUGUAUUUGUGUAUCUAAACAUAGAAAAGGUGUGGUAAAAAUGUGGCAUGAAAGAUAAAAAAGUGUACACCUGUCCCAGGCACUUACCAUGAAUGGAGCUUACAAGACUGGAAAUUGCUCUGGUAAGUAGAAGAAUUACAGUCUAAAAUAAUGAUAUAAAGUAUAGUAAAUACACAAACCAAUCACAUAGAUGUUUAUCAUUUUUUAUCAAGUAUUAUGUACUAUACAUAACUGUAUGUGCUAGACUUUUAUAUGACUGACAGCACAGUUGGUUUGUUUACUGUGUUGCUCUAACACUACAGCUAUGAUGCCAUUAGGUGACAGGAAGUUUUUGGCUGCAUAAUAAUCUUAUGGGACUUCUGUUGUGUAUGUGAACUGUCAUUGAUGAAAGUAUCAUUAUGCAGUGCAUGACUAUAUGUAAUGUGUAUAUAUGGUAAAAAGUUUGGAUUUUAUACUCAAUAGGAAAUUGUUGGAUAGUGUUAAGCAAGAAAAUAACACGCUCCAACUUGUUUUAAAAGAUGACCAUAGCUGCUAUGUGGAAAAAUCAUUGUAUAGGGUCAAGAAUGGGAACGAGAAGACCAAUAAAAAGCUAUUUACAGUGGCCUAGGUGAGAGUUAAUGGUGGCCAUCAUAGAAGCAUUAAGGAAGGAGAGGAAUACAUAGAUUUGAGAUCUAUUUGGUUCACCUGGAUAAUCCAGGGUAAUCUCAUCUCAAAAUCAUUAAUUAAUUUGGAAAGGACCCUCCACCCCCUGAGUAAGGGUCAGGGAGAGCAGAAGUUGUGCUUCUUCUAGAUGAGAAGCUUUACUUUCUCAGGGAACUGACUUGAUUUCCAUAGACAUUCUCACAAACCACCAGAGUGCUGGUUCUGGACUGGUAUAUGCCCCUCAGCUUCUAUAUUGGGGCAGAGGCCGAAGUUUGGCAUGAUGAAUAGAAUACAGGUGUUGGAAUUAGACCAGAUUAAUUCACUUACUAGUUCUGUAAUCUUCGGCAAGUUACAUACCCUCUUGGGACCUCUGUUUUCUCAAUGGUAAAAUGGGGUUGAAGGGGCAGUUCUGGUCAAAGGCUCAAAUCUUGGGAAUGGAGUUGCUGAGGAAUGAAGUUUUAAAUAGGUCAGCUUGCCUAACGUAGAGCACUCCAGGAGGUCUUUGGAAGGAAGAGCUGUUAAGAAUGAGUCCGCUUGGGAGAGGAUCAGGAAGGGAAGCAGCG
rnacentral:lncRNA from 1 species